UCAAUAAAUGGUGUCGCUAAAUAUUGGGCGUCAAAUCCUUGACUGGUAAUCUGAUCCUGCGACUAUCAUGUUGAGUGUUGACCACUUGAGCCAAGCCUUUGAAGGAUGAGGUUCCAGUUCAGCUCCUACUUCACGACUCUCUUUCCAGAAACCCAUUCUCUCCCUUCUUUCUCCUUCAAACUUCUUUCUACCAUAACUUUCAUUCUACAACUCCAAUUGUUGCGCCGCUUUCGCCUUUAGGAUCGUAUGAACGAGCUCUACAAGAUAAGUGUGGUUUGGGAGAAUGGUGGUCACUACUAGGCAGCUCAUUGAAGGUUGAGGAUUACUUUGGAGCUGUUAAGGUGAAGAAUCUACCUUGGGCCGAACCUACAGAGAACUCAGAGUAAUUUUGGGUUGAAGUGGAAGUUGGUUUUCUGUUUUUAGGUACAUCUUUCAUAAGUGCAGCCAUCACCGGAGAAAAAUAAGCAAACUUAUGCUUGAGGUGUUGUUGCCCAACCUAGAAAAGAAGCAACAAUAACCAGCAGAUAUUGAAAAUGAAGCUUGGAGUGCCGCACCAAGCUUUUAAGCAAGCUAAUGGAUUGAACAAAUGAAUAAGAAAAUGGGUGUACCCAAUAAAGAAUAGGAGUCUACAACACUAUAGAGGGAAUUGUAUAGACAAAGGCAAUUGGAAGAUAAUAAAUAAAUGUAUGGCUAUCUGAUUGUGGGCUGACAGCAAGUGGUGAGAAUUUGUCUAUUCAUGGAAAAAUAUGAUGCAACAAGAGAGCAGUUUCCAUUCCUAUAAAUUCAGCGUUGCACCAAGCUCACAAUCUUCUCUUGAGCUCUCUCCUUCCUUCAAUUAUUCUAGUUCUAUGUUUUAGUUUUA